rnacentral:rRNA from 1 species
CGCAAGCCUGACGGAGCAAGACCGCGUGGGGGAUGACGGCCUAAUGGUUGUAAACCCCUUUUCUCUGGGAAGAAGACUGACGGUACCAGAGGAAUCAGCCUCGGCUAACUCCGUGCCAGCAGCCGCGGUAAUACGGAGGAGGCAAGCGUUAUCCGGAAUUAUUGGGCGUAAAGCGUCCGUAGGUGGUUAUUCAAGUCUGCUGUCAAAGCGUGGGGCUUAACUCCAUAGAGGCAGUGGAAACUGAGUGACUAGAGUGCGGUAGGGGUCGAGAGAAUUCCCAGUGUAGCGGUGAAAUGCGUAGAUAUUGGGAAGAACACCAGUGGCGAAAGCGCUCGACUGGGCCUGCACUGACACUGAGGGACGAAAGCUAGGGGAGCG